rnacentral:rRNA from 1 species
ACACGUAGGGGGCGAGCGUUAUCCGGAAUUACUGGGCGUAAAGAGUGCGUAGGUGGCUUUGCAAGCGUAGGGUAUAAGGCGACAGCCCAACUGUCGUUGGCCCCGCGAACUGUAAGGCUUGAGUACAGGAGGGGAAGGCGGAAUUCUUAGUGUAGCGGUGAAAUGCGUAGAUAUUAGGAGGAACACCAGUGGCGAAGGCGGCCUUCUAAACUGUAACUGACACUGAGGCACGAAAGCGUGGGUAGCAAACAGGAUUAGAUACCCUGGUAGUCCACGCCGUAAACGAUGAGCACUAGGUGUCGGGCUCGCAAGAGUUCGGUGCCGGAGCAAACGCAUUAAGUGCUCCGCCUGGGGAGUACGCACGCAAGUGUGAAACUCAAAUGAAUUGACGGGG